UGAAGAAGGCUUGUCUGCAGGGACGG
rnacentral:piRNA from 1 species